rnacentral:rRNA from 1 species
UACGUAGGUGGCGAGCGUUGUCCGGAUUUACUGGGCGUAAAGGGCGUGCAGGCGGUUUGUUAAGUGCAGAGUGAAAGCUCCCGGCUCAACUGGGAGAGGUCUUUGCAUACUGGCAAACUCGAGGGAGGCAGAGGAAAGUGGAAUUCCCGGUGUAGUGGUGAUAUGCGUAGAUAUCGGGAGGAACACCUGUGGCGAAGGCGGCUUUCUGGACAGUGACUGACGCUGAGACGCGAAAGCGUGGGGAGCAAACAGG